rnacentral:rRNA from 1 species
UACGGAAGGCAGCAGUGGGGAAUAUUGCACAAUGGGCGCAAGCCUGAUGCAGCCAUGCCGCGUGUAUGAAGAAGGCCUUCGGGUUGUAAAGUACUUUCAGUCGUGAGGAAGGUGUUAAGGUUAAUAACCUUAGCAAUUGACGUUAGCGACAGAAGAAGCACCGGCUAACUCCGUGCCAGCAGCCGCGGUAAUACGGAGGGUGCGAGCGUUAAUCGGAAUUACUGGGCGUAAAGGGCACGCAGGCGGUUAAUUAAGUUGGAUGUGAAAUCCCCGGGCUUAACCUGGGAAUGGCAUUCAAGACUGGUUAGCUAGAGUCUUGUAGAGGGGGUAGAAUUCCAUGUGUAGCGGUGAAAUGCGUAGAGAUGUGGAGGAAUACCGGUGGCGAAGGCGGCCCCGUCGGACAAAGACUGACGCUCAUGUGCGAAAGCGUGGGGAGCAAACAGGAUUAGAUACC